AGCUGAGCGCCGGCUGCCCUGACGUCAGCAUGGCCGCGGCCCCUGACUACCCAGCUCCCUUCUAUCCCUCGAGCGGCAGGAAUCCGUCCCCACGCCCUUUUCCUUUAAAGGGCAACGGGCCGAAGGUGGGGCGGGCGGCGCGGCUCCCGCGAUCCAUUCAGGUCAAAAGGGAGAGUGAUCAAACAGGAGAGCCGAGGGGACCUAUAUUCAGAGACUUAACCGGACACCUGGACAGACCAUUACAACUUGGGACUUUUCAGGAGAAUGAGGGAAAUGUAGUUAUUGCACCUGAGCCUCACUCCAGCUCUGAGGUCCUCUUCACUUCUCUUUGGAAGAAAAUUGGAUAUCUUUUCCUAGUUGAAAGAGUAGAGAUCUGAUUUCUCCAAGGAUCAUCGCUUUUUGACACGGGAUUAUUAGAAGCAUUCAUUCAUCUAUCAAGGAGUUUUGGGAUACUUGCCAUAAGCCAAGCCCUCUGAUAGGUGCUGGAAACAUCAAGCUCUGUGCCCAGGAAGUUCAUCCUUGGACUGCACGCAUGAACGAGUUUGCUGUCUUCCCAUUGGAUUCAGCCAGUCCGCGGUCCUGGUAGGAAAUCAGGGGAAGAAGAAAUACUUUCCCAGACAAAUAAAAGCUGAGGAAUAUCAUCAACAUCAGACCUGUCUUACAAAAAAUGCUAAAGGGAGUUCUUCAAUCCAAAAGAAAAAGAUGUUAAUGAGCAAAAAUAAAUCAUCUGAAGGUGCAAAACUUGCUGGUAAUUGCUGCCUGAGCAAUUGUGUCUGGUUCGUGAAGUGACUUCCCAUUUUCAUCCAAUUGGCCCUGAUCUCACAUCCCAAGCCCAUGGAUCAUACCACAUUGUUCUUUCUGCAAAACAGUUGAGAAUUACCAGUAAUUGGGACUGUUUACAUUCAAUGCCAUCAUGACAGAAGCAGCUUUAUUAUAUUGCAGAGGAAUGAUUAAUACAUGAUGGGGAUUAAAGAUUGCACUGCAGCAGGCCAAGGCAAGAGGCAAUAAAGAUUAAUAAUUUUAGAUUUCCACUGUAGCAAGAACGGGAAAAAAGCGUCAUCUGAAAUGCCAACUUCAAGCAAUUGCAGUGAUUUCCUGGAACCCUACGUGACAAGUCCAGAUUCAGUGGGAAAGACUGUGAGGAUCCGUUAGCAAUGUUUACGAUGGGCAAGUCUUGUGAUGGGGUUACCCUCCUUGCAUUAGAAUUUGCAGUCUUCUAUUAGGCCAUUAGUCUUUGAGAGCAAAAACUGUAUGUAUCUCAUUUUUGUAGCCCCAGUGCCAGGCACACAGUAGCUGCUCCAAAAGCAAAGGACAUCGAGUCUGAAUCAAGCUGCUUGGGUUUAAUGGCUGUCUUUGUCGCUUACUAGCUGAGUGGACUCGUCAUAUUUAUAACUUAAUUGUGGUUCAGUUUCCUUCUCUACAGAAAAGGCAUGAGUUCCUCAUUCAUAGAGUUAUAAUAAGGGUUAAAUAAAGUCAUGCAUAUCCAAAGCUUAGCAUAGUACCUGAGACAUAGCAAAUACUUGAGGAAUGCAGGUAUAAAUUAACAUAGGAGUGAAUAACAUUGCAAGGAAACAGAGAAAAGGAUCCUAAACAGUCCUGCUGGUAUAUUCAUUUAUGAUUCAAAAAUCCUCAAUUGUUAAAAUUUGGGUCAGAACCUUAUUAUUCCAGGUUGUUGGUAAAUGUGAGGACCCUUCUGGGUUUGGAAGUAGAACAAUAAAUUGAGAGGCCAAAGAAGCUGCAAAUAAAAAUUGGCUUCUCUGGGAAAAUGAUUUUCACAUUUAUACCUACCUGCCUUUUGUCCUCCCAUGCAUUUCUCCAGAUGUGAUACCAAUGUGAUACAAUUGUUGUUUAUUCCUUCUCUGACAAUAGCAAGGUAGAGUGAGCCUUCCAGUGAGGGCUUAAAAUAUAGCUCCAGAGACAUUCACCACUACUUCCUGCCUCCAUGGUUACACAUUCCCUUUCACAAAU
ensembl:lncRNA LMCD1-AS1 LMCD1 antisense RNA 1